UAAAACGUAGGACGCAAGCGUUAUCCGGAUUUACUGGGCGUAAAGCGCGGGCAGGUGGCAGGCCAAGUUGGAUGUGAAAGCUCCCGGCUCAACUGGGAGAGGCCAUUCAAGACUGGUCGGCUGGAGGGCAGCAGGGGGGCGUGGAAUUCCGGGUGGAGUGGUGAAAUGCGUAGAGAUCCGGAGGAACACCAGAAGCGAAGGCGGCGCCCUGGGCUGCAUCUGACACUGAACCGCGAAGGCGUGGGUAGCGAACGGGAUUAGAAACCCCGGUAGUCCACGCGGUAAACGAUGUCAACUGGGUGUUGGGGGGGUAAAAGCUCUCAGUGCCGAAGCAAACGCGAUAAGUUGACCGCCUGGGGAGUACGGCCGCAAGGCUAAAACUCAAAUGAAUUGACGG
rnacentral:rRNA from 1 species